AUGGGAUUUGUAAGGAAUGGUUGGAUUUUAGGGAUAAGGAAUGGUUGGAUUUUAGGGAAUGGGGAUUUUGUUAGGAAUUAUUUGAUUUCAAGGAGCUGCUGCUGCUCCCUCCAUCCCAAAUCCACCCCAAAUCCAUCCCAGAUCCACCCCAAAUCCACCCCAAAUCCAUCCCAAAUCCAUCCCAGAUCCACCCCAAAUCCAUCCCAAAUCCAUCCCAAAUCCAUCCCAAAUCCUCCCAAAUCCACCCCAAAUCCACCCCAGAUCCAUCCCAGAUCCAUCCCAGAUCCAUCCCAGAUCCAUCCCAAAUCCACCCCAGAUCCACCCCAGAUCCAUCCCAAAUCCACCCCAAAUCCAUCCCAAAUCCAUCCCAAAUCCAUCCCAAAUCCACCCCAAAUCCAUCCCAGAUCCAUCCCAAAUCCAUCCCAAAUCCACCCCAAAUCCAUCCCAAAUCCACCCCAAAUCCACCCCAAAUCCACCCCAAAUCCAUCCCAAAUCCAUCCCAAAUCCACCCCAAAUCCACCCCAAAUCCACCCCAAAUCCAUCCCAAAUCCAUCCCAAAUCCAUCCAGGAUCCAUCCCAAAUCCACCCCAAAUCCAUCCCAAAUCCACCCCAAAUCCACCCCAAAUCCACCCCAAAUCCAUCCCAAAUCCAUCCCAAAUCCACCCAAAUCCACCCCAAAUCCAUCCCAAAUCCACCCCAAAUCCACCCCAGAUCCAUCCCAAAUCCACCCCAAAUCCACCCCAAAUCCACCCCAAAUCCACCCCAAAUCCACCCCAAAUCCAUCCCAAAUCCACCCCAAAUCCACCCCAAAUCCAUCCCAAAUCCACCCCAAAUCCAUCCCAAAUCCACCCCAAAUCCAUCCCAAAUCCACCCCAAAUCCAUCCCGCUCCAAACCCCGGUGGUUCUGAAGGAGCAAUGACCAUUUACUGUUGGAAUUCCCAUCCUGGGAAUCGGGAUUGGGAACGAUUCCCUGGAAUUCUCCCUUCCCUCUGCCUCCUUUGGGGUGAUGGGAUGCGGGAAUCCCGCUCGGAUCCCUCUGGAAUCGGAAAAUCCUGA
rnacentral:lncRNA from 1 species